AUAAUCCCUAAGAAAUUAAUAUGAUUUAUUUUCUAUCUCCUAGACUAAUCAAUUGGACCAUUAGCACCAGAUUAAUGAAUGGAGUGAAAAAAACUAUGCAAUCCAGAGCUGGGAUUUCAGAGAAAGAGAUGCAGCAGCAGAACAGGGAGCAAUGGACAAGGUGCCCAAGACUGCUUUCCAGUCUGGGAUCAAGAAUGAGGAAUCAGGACUGAGAGUUCCAGAAACAGCUUCUUUGACUCCUAAUAGUCUGCAAACCCCAAAUUCAGAUUUCUCCAUUGUUCAAAGCUGCUGUUGAAACAGGGAUUUUGGGGGGUCUUUUCGUCUUUCCUUGUCAAUGCUAGUCAGAAAAAAGCGAACAGAGCUAUAAACACUGAUGGGAAAGAAAUACACAUUGAAGCAGUGAAACAUAUUGUCAAGCAAAUAAAUGAUCUGCUGCCUACCAAAUGCUGUUCCAAUCAAAUUACUCCAGGCAUUGCUCCCAGAACCAUAUUUAAGAAAACCCCUCCUUCACAGGCUUUAUGCAGAAGAGUUUAAUUAGUCUUUCGGCUUUUCAUUAUUCACCAGCAGGUUGCAUGAACAUACACAGAACUAACAAGUUAAGCCUUGACCAGAAGACUUCCAGGUCAACAGGGUUUGGAAAUGCAACCUAAACCUACAGCUGGUUCUUGUCUGUGUUGGCAAGUGGUAAGGAAUGCAAACGACUCUGAAGCAAUGCUGCUUUUUGUGAGCUGAAACCCAGCAAACCUCUACAAAAUGGUGUGAUCCUCCACAUGCACUGAUCUUAAAUCUGUUACAUUUUAUUGCUUAGGAUGAUGAAGUGACACUAAGUUUAGCUACGAAAAAAUCCAAAAGUUGCAAGAUGUGUUUGACAAUCACAGUCUGAGARUGUUUCUCAUUUCAGUUGCCCAGAUGAAUGGAAACAGCUGGUAUUAGCUAAUAUUUAAGACUCUUACUUGCCUAAACAGCAUUUAUCAAACAGAAAUCAUCUGAAUAAUGUGGAAGCAUGCCUUCUGUGUACCUUUAUUUCUUCUGUGUGAGAAUUAAGGAAAUGUCUACAGAAAAAGAACAAUCACCAGGAGCAAUCACCAAACAAUUGCUGAUUAAAAAAAAAAAAAGGUAAUUUAGAACAAUUAAUUCUUACAUGGACAUGAUAUAAAAACCGAAUAAUAAGAGACAUUUUAUUCUGAACAGUCAUUCCUAAUKGUCUCUGCAAGAAAAGUAAAGCACUCAAUUGUUUAACUCUCAGAGCAGAUAAUAAAGUUGUGCCAUGUCACAUGAAUUCCAUGGAGUGGGUUAAUACAGAGGAAAUGAGUUGUUGCAUGUUUUAUUUCUUCUCCUUUUGUACAUUUCCAGCUCUCCCAAUGGAUGUCUGCAGUAUUUAUUCAGAAAACCAAGAAUAAAUACAUUUUUAUAAG